UAAAGAGAUCCUGGACAUAGCCGAUCGCCAGAACAAUGAAACGCGCCGUAUGGCGAAUGGGCGCACGCAGGAAACCAUUAAUAUAAAUCUGCGCGCCUGAUUUUAUUUGAAUUGAAGCGAUGUACGGAGCUUAAGAGCAAUGAAAUUACCGAUUUACCUGGAUUAUUC
rfam:Pantoea gaviniae strain LMG 25382 Contig0237_, whole genome shotgun sequence.